GUGCGUAUGGGCAUGUCGGAUCCCUGCUCGGGCAGCGACGGCAUUCAUCCGCGCCUUUUCAAUUUCCGGUUCAAGUGUGUUCUUACCUUGAUCGAAGUCGGUUUCCUGUGUUGCAUACCAAUCGUGGCGGUAUUUGAUCGGAAAAUGUAUGUUUGUCCCGCGUUCCCCUUUCCAAGGUGCGGCGUGGGAUGGAUAAGAAGCAUUGUUGUGUUCCACAUCCCGACAGUAAUGUGCUUGGGUUGUUGGCGCAUGGCGGCAUGCUCGUACUUUCGGAUGCGGAAAAUUGAGCGGGUACGAGGCAUUGUCCUUAUCUACCCCAAAGAAAGCGUUCCACGCUUCAGCGAACGACGG
rnacentral:misc_RNA from 1 species